rnacentral:misc_RNA from 1 species
AUGACAGAUCUAAAUACGAAUCUCCAAAGUUAUUUGUCAAAGGGGGACCAAAAUAGCGGAUCGGGAUUUGGUAAAUUUAAUUUAGGAAAGCUUAACUUUUUCCAGAAGAAGAACCAAACCCCAGAUGAUGUCUCAGAGUCAAAUGACGUGGCAAACGGCUGGUUUACCCAGGCGAAAGCAGACCCGUGUAUGCCGAGUUUGUCCAAAAAACAGAGAAUUCUGGGCUUUGUGAUGUUUUUACUGAUGGGAACCUUCUGUUUUUCAAUGUUUUUCCUUCCUCUGGGGACCGAUGAACCACAUAAAGCACCUGUUCUCAGUUCCACGGUUACCAUUUACAACAGCUUACAUUGGAACAAUACUAGCCACAUUAUACUUCUCAUUAUGGGUGAAAAGCACUAUCUUGACUGUAGUAUGUGCAAUAUGCCAAGUAAUCACUUUAGUUUGGUACAUUGUGAGUUAUAUCCCUGGUGGUCAGACAGGACUCAAGUUCUUCUCCAAAGUAUUUUACUCAGUAGCAACCAAGACAGUACAGAAAACCUUGCCUGUUUGACAGAGCUGGGGUUCCACCUUCAUCAUAAGACAAUCUGA